CCGCCUGGCCUGGCCCGCGAGAUCCCUGCCGCUCCAGUUCGGAAUCUGGGAUCCGCAGGCUCCCAGAUCCGCCCCUGGCCCGGCUCCGACCCGCCCGUCAGCCGCCUCCCACUCAGCGUUAAUUAAAACUUGCGAGAUGGAGAGGCUGGCGCGGACGGCUCCGUUUUAUUUGCAGCAUCUUUCAUGCUGCUGACGAUCGUAAAGGGCUUUAAUAUUGAAAUAUGGGCCAUUUUCCCAGCUCCAGCCCUCGCCGCGCUCUCUCCGCACCCCCACACCCAGCCACCCCGCGCUUGAUGAAAGAGCCCCUGCAAAUCCAUUAAGGAGAGAUAAUUGAAAACUCCGGGGUAAUAUUUAAGACCGCGUGCCGACGCGGGGUGGAGGGCCUAACUGCGCCCGCUUUGUCCGUCAGUGCUGGUGCGUGCCAGUCCCUAGCGCUCUAGGCCCACCAAGGCCCCGCCGACGCCCAGCCAAGGCCCGCCGUCUUAGCGGUGCCUCCUCACUCCCUGCACUCAAAGGGCUGGCUCUGCGCUAACCUGGCUGUGCCUGGAGACCCGACUUGCCUGGAGACCCGAGUUCCAAAAGGAGCCACAGGGCACGCUGUGUGACAGAUGGAUUAGGGCCAGCAUGAACGGGGGCCAAAGCAUCUUGUCCCACUGCUUCAGCUUCGGUUUGGUGCACCAGCAUCAGGCACUGCUCAAGCUUCUGAGCACGGCAUCCCCUCUGCCUGCAAGCUUUUCCCUCCAGCACUUUCUACUUGCGGAACUGCUGUUCCUCUUUCAAAACCAACCCAGUUCCACCCCAAAACUGCAAGGUCCAUGAGGGCAGAGGCAGUGUCUGUUGCUGGGUGAGUGACUGGAUUGAGCUCAAAGCAUGUCUGAAGACUGAAAUGGGCCAGGCAAGGAGAUGGAAACUGGAGGCCUGGAUUCUGGCUCGGUCAUACCUCCAAGAACGUAACUUUCCCUCGACCCUGGGGAGUCUUCACAGACCUUCCUUCUGCUGUGAGGCACUGGAGAAUCACUUGAGACCAGACUCAGGAAACUCUUCCCUGAUGGGAAGACAUUCAUUCAUCCACUCCACAUCUCUGAAGCCCCAAGAGAAGGAUCUGAAUCCCCUAGUCUGAAGAGUCAGCAAGUGUCCAACAUAGCAAUCUUGAUAAAAAGGGAGAAUUGAUAAAGGAGGGAGCAGCCCCACCUCAGUAACAAGAGGGAGGAAAAUUCCAGCUAGUACAUGUACUUAACAUGAAAGCAGACAUGUGCCAAGACCCUGCUUUCAUGGAUAUUAGGUGUUCCCAAAUAUAAGAAACACCCAUUCUUGCCCACAGGCCUCACUGGAUACUAUCCAAGAUGUCUAGAGAAUAAGAGGAAAGAGAGAAUCAUAAUAUCCAAAAGGUGGAAACAACCCAAAUGUUCACCAAUAGGUGAACGGAUAAACAAAGUGUGAUAUAUCCAUACAAUGGAAUAUUAGUCAGCCCUGAAAAGGAAUGAAGUACUGAUAAAUGCUACAACAUGGAUGAACUUUGAAAACACUAUGCUCAAUGAAAGAAGCUAGUCACAGAAGGUCUCUUAUUAUAUGAUGCCAUUCAUAUGAAAGUCCAGAAUAGGGAAAUCUACAGAGACUGAAAGUACAUUAGUGUUGUUAAGGGCAAGAAGGAAUAUGGGGGGAUAGGGAGGUGAUAGCUAAAGGUUACAAGAUUUCUUUUUGAGGUGAUGAAAAUGUUCUAAAAUUAACUAUGGUGAUGGUUCGACAUACUUGUGAAUAUACUAAAACCAUUGAAUUGUACAUUUCAAAUGGUGAAUUGUAUGACACAUGAAUUAUACCUCAAGAAAGUUGCUUUUUAAAAAGACAGCGUAAGGGGUGGGGGGCAGUUGAGAUGAAGCAGGAAAACUGUGAUCAGAAGCAAAGCUCAGGGGCUGUCUGGCCUGGCUGCCCCAAGUCAAAGCCUGCAUUUCAUACAGGCAAUGUUAGGGUAGCCCCCAAGCCAUGAUUCGGAAAGAUAAAUUGACCCCAGAUGGAAUAGGGCUGGGUCCCUUCUCCCUUGACAGCUCCCUUUCUGUGUUUUUUCUGGCACAAGAAACUCUGUCAUCUUGUAUAAAUAGGAGAAAUUUAUGGCAGUUUUCCCUCUUCUUCUCCCUGGUGGGCUACUAGGAAAGGUCUAGGGGGAGGAGGGAGCCUGAAAUUCCAAAAAUAUAAAUGUGGAAAGACUGGAGGGGGUCGAGGAGUCUCUUUGCCUGCCUUAGCUCUGGCCCCAGCUCUCCUUUCCCUUUGCAUGUUUGACCAUCUGGGUGAUGAGGAGGGUAGAGAACUGGUGCAGCCCGUCCUCUCUGCAAGCCCAAAAGAGAUGGGUCCCAAAGCAGAUAUCCGACAGGAGGGGCACAAGGGAAAUCAAGGAAAUAGGCUUGGCUGUCCCAUGAAAUAAUUGGAGGAGACACAGACCACUGCCCUCCUUCCUGGAUUUGGCUAUUUUUGUACUUCCCUGUUUGUUGAGGCAGCCUGAUACAGCGGGAAGAGAACUCGUCCUCGAUUUAGAAAGAUUGACAGAGAAACUAAGUGUGUGACCUUAAGCAAGUCAUAUCUUGUCUCCGGGCCUCACCUGUAAAAAGAGGGAGGGGACUGAAUUUAUCAGGGGUUUUCAAAUGAUUUUAACUCUGGGGUCCUUCCUUCAAAUAAAACCGUAUGCAGUGACCCAACAUGAACAUGAGUAGUAGGCUGCUGAGCUUCUUGAAGGUAGGAAUGGGAGUCUCAGGGCCCUGUGGUGACUGGCGAGAGGCUUGUCCAAGCACAAGAUGAUCUCCAUGGCUUUUCCAGCCCCGUCCUCAGGAGGGAUUUGCCCCCAUGGUGAAGAGGCUCAGUUCUGCACACCCAGUGGGCUUGAAAUCCAGCUCCACCCCCUCCUGUGUGUCCCUCAGCACAUAACUUACCUUCCUUGAACCUGUUUCCUCGUGUGUAAAUUGGAAUAAUAGUAACACAUAUCUCAGAGGAUUGUCACAUAGAUUACACUAAAUAAUGUGCAUAGAGUCCUUCGCAUACUUAUCUGGCCCAAUAAAUAUUAUUAUAGUUAUUCCGUGAUCUGAUGUAAUCAUUUUUUUAUUUUGAGACAGAAUCUCAUUUUGUAGCCCAGACUGGUGCACAGUGGCAUGAUGUCAGUUCACUGCAACCUCCGCCUCCUGGGUUCAAGCAAUUCUCCUGUCUCAGCCUCCCAAGUAGCUGGGAUUACAGGAGUGUGCCACCGUGUCCAGCUAAUUUUUGUAUUUUUUAGUAGAGAUGGGGUUUCACCAUGUUGGCCAGACUGGUCUCGAACUCCUGGCCUCAAGUGAUCUGCCUGCCUCAGCCCCACACAGUGCUGGGAUUACAGGCGCAAGCCAUUGCACCUGGCCCGAUACAAUCUUUUUAAUUUGAAAUAUCUGGUGUGAGAAGGUGAAUUAGAAAGGAUGACAGCAAAACUGCUAUAACACAAAGGCCCCAAAACACAGUAGCAUAUAGAAAACAGAAGUUUAUUUCUCACUUAGUCUGGGAGGAAGCGGUUCCAGACAGCAGGCAGCUCUGUUCCUCCUAGUCAGUCAGGGACGUGUGUUCCUUUCAUACCUUUGCUUUGUCUUCCCUUAGGGAUGUCUUUUCAGUUGCCUGGUCAAACCUGUCUCAGGCACAUCUGCCCAGCUCAUGAAAGAGAGAACACAAAGGAGAAUUUACCCAAUGUCAUCAGGCUUUGAGGACAUGCUUGCCUCACAUUCCCCUGUGUCUACACCUGGCAACAAGAGCAGCUGGGAAAUGGAGUGUCCAGCUGGGUGUCUCUCUACCCUCGUGCAGCAAGGAAAGAAGAGAUUUUAGUGGACAACGGGCAGUCUUAAUCCAGGGCUCAAACCCACACCCGAGCUGUCCUCUUCCUCUUCUCUUCCCAAAGGAAGGGAAAUAAAGUCUACAGCCCAGAAAACAAUGUGACCACCCAUCCCCUACCCCAAUCAGGUCCCUGCCAUUCAUCCCAAGAUCAGCAGUCUUGGGAAAGUGGCUUGGAAGCCUCCCUCCAGAAAGACCACCCUUUUGUCCAUCUUCUUCACAUGGGUGGAUGUGAGAAAAGUUUCUCUCCCCACUGCCUGCCUGCCACUCCCUGUCUCAGUUUCAGCUCACGCUCUAGCCCUUUGUUCCCAGUCACCAAGAGUGACUACAAAUGCGGGGGAACAGGAGGACCUGAAACUUCAUGGAAAUUGAGACUGGGACACAGAAGCCAUGCUCAGAGGCAGCCUAGGUGAGGGUUCUGAUGCCAGGAAAUCCAGCUACUACUGUGUAGCCUAAAGCGGGGAUUAAGCUCUCAGAACUUCAAUGAACUCUUUUGGAAAUAGGGGUAAGAAGCCCACUUGUCAGGGCUGUUGUGAACAUCAAAUGUGAUCAUGUAUGUACCUAGUACAUAGUAUGCCUUCAAUAAAUGGUAAGGCAAACCCA
ensembl:lncRNA FLJ12825 uncharacterized LOC440101